GUGAGGGAGGAGGCUUUUGGGUUGUAAACCUCUUUUCUCAAGGAAGAACACAAUGACGGUACUUGAGGAAUCAGCAUCGGCUAACUCCGUGCCAGCAGCCGCGGUAAUACGGAGGAUGCAAGCGUUAUUCGGAAUUAUUGGGCGUAAAGCGUCCGCAGGUGGUAAUUCAAGUCUGCUGUUAAAGACCGAAGCUUAACUUCGGAAAGGCAGUGGAAACUGAAUAACUAGAGUACGGUAGGGGUUGAGGGAAUUUCCAGUGUAGCGGUGAAAUGCGUAGAGAUUGGAAAGAACACCAGUGGCGAAGGCGCUCAACUGGACCGUAACUGACACUCAGGGACGAAAGCUAGGGUAGCGAAAGGGAUUAGAUACCCCC
rnacentral:rRNA from 1 species